UAAUGAUCCCCAAAGAUGUAUGGACAUAAAUGAGGAGAGUCUGGUACUGAGUCCAAGAGGAGAGUAAUGAUGUUUCAUUGUUGAAGGAGGAUUGAUGUGCAAUGAUGCUUCACUGUUGAAGUGUUGAAUGGUUGAUGCUUGCAAAUCAUUGCACAAAAGUGAAGCAUUCAGCAAACAAAAAUGGAGUUCGCUUGGGAAUGGAAAUCUUGGCCCAUAGCAGAUCCAAUGUCUUCAGCGGGGUGUAGGCCCAAAAGUCAGGUUGUGGAGCCAAAAACCGUUUGGGCCCAGGGCCCAUACCGAAUCCACAUGAAGCUAGAGGAACUGGUCCAAACGUUGAGUGUUGAUACACACCAAGUCAAAACGCACGCAGUUUCAAUGGCAUAAUCAAUCACCUUCAUCAAUCAAACCUCGCCUUCUCUUCUUCCCGGACGAAGUUCGAAGCAUCAAAUCAGUGAAGAACAACGACUUCAAGAUCAAUUUAAAUCUUCAAGAUUCAACAUCCUUCAUUCAAUUUCAAAUUAUAUGGCGCACGCGAAAUUAUUUUUCUCCCCAGCAACGAAAUCGAAACGAAAGAGUAAAUCUCGUACGCUACAGCCGAAAUGAAAACACCUCUCCAAAAAGCCCCAAGCUGCAGUAAUGACGAUGUUCCAUGAAUCUCCGUUUCAGUAUCAUUUUCGAGGAUUUGGAUUCUUCGCAUCGGUAUCAUCUUCAAGGAUUUGGAUUCUUCGCGCCUCAGAGUUCAUGGAUUUGUGUUUGGAGCGUUUGAAUCGUAGCAAGGAGAAGGACGACGACUUACCAGAUUUUUGAGCUCCCGCACGGUGGCUCUGUGACGACGCCCCAUGUUGAGGAAAGAGGAUUUGGAAGGAACAUGUAGAACAAGUUGAUGGCAAGCAAGCUCAAAACUAUAGUCAUCCCAAUCCAAGGCUAAUGUAAUGACAUAUGACUAUGCUUGUAUGGAUUUGUGAUAGAAUUUAAAUUCUGGAUUAGUGGAAACUGUAAUUUUUAUAAUAAUUUGUGAAUUAUAUUGUAAUUUUGAAUGUGAAAUAAUAAAUUAAAUGAUUGAGUAC